UACGGAGGGGGCAAGCGUUGUUCGGAAUUACUGGGCGUAAAGGGCGCGCAGGCGGCUGCUCAAGUCAGGCGUGAAAGGCCUGGGCUCAACCCGGGAAUUGCGCUUGAGACUGGGCUGGCUUGAGUGCGGGAGAGGAUGGUGGAAUUCCCAGUGUAGAGGUGAAAUUCGUAGAUAUUCGGAAGAACACCAGUGGCGAAGGCGGCUCACUGGACCGGCAUUGACGCUGAGGUGCGAAAGCGUGGGGAGCAAACAGG
rnacentral:rRNA from 1 species